UACAGAGGUCCCAAGCGUUGUUCGGAUUCACUGGGCGUAAAGGGUGCGUAGGUGGUGAGGUAAGUCGGACGUGAAAUCUCCGAGCUCAACUCGGAAAUGGCAUUGGAAACUACCUUGCUCGAGGGUUGGAGGGGGGGACUGGAAUGCUUGGUGUAGCAGUGAAAUGCGUAGAUAUCAAGCGGAACACCAGUGGCGAAGGCGAGUCCCUGGACAACUCCUGACACUGAGGCACGAAAGCUAGGGGAGCAAACAGG
rnacentral:rRNA from 1 species